UAUCUUUAUCAAUCUGUCUACAGUAGGAAGCCUUUUCUGUGCUGCUAACCACAUAAUAAAUCUGUAUCUAGGGUGGGCAUUAGUUAGAAGCAUCAGACUUCUCCAGUGCAGCUAACCACACAAUAAAUCUGUAUCUAGGUUGAGAAUUUGUUAGAAGCAUCAGACUUCUCCAUGGAACUUUGCUGAAAUUAGGUAGCAGUGUGAGGUACAAUUUCUGUAUAUGGAAUUGCUCCAUUGUACAGAAACUAUGUAAACUGUUAAGAAGGCUGCCUUGAUUAAGUUGAUUGCCCAUGACAAUAGCUCUACUAUCCAGGAUUUUCCUCACUACCCAAGAUGCAGCCUUAGGAGUGAUCAUACUUUCCAAGCCCUUUUGCUUAAUAUAGUAGCUGUGCACCCAUUAUAUCCAUAAGCAGUCUUUCUUGUUGGCUAAGUUCCAGAGUUGUUUGCUUAUAGCAGCCCUGUUCUAGAGUGUCAUGUCAAUAAUGUUUAGUCCACCAGCAGAUAUAGGUCUGCAUACUUUCUCCCAUGCCACUGGAGUUUUCCUGGACAGAUUAACAUUGCCAGUCCAUAAGAAGGUUCUGCAGAUGUUCUCAACAGCUUUCAGAAUUUUCUUAGGUAGGAUGAAGAUCUGAGCCCAAUAAGAUUGUAUGCCAAAAAUAACUGCUUUAAUCAAUUGACAUCUUCCUGCAUACGAAAGGAAUUUAGC
rnacentral:lncRNA from 1 species